UACGAAGGGGGCUAGCGUUGUUCGGAAUCACUGGGCGUAAAGCGCACGUAGGCGGAUUUUUAAGUCAGGGGUGAAAUCCCGAGGCUCAACCUCGGAACUGCCUUUGAUACUGGGGAUCUGGAGUCCGGGAGAGGUGAGCGGAACUGCGAGUGUAGAGGUGAAAUGCGCAGAUAUCAGGAGGAACACCAAUGGCGAAGGCAGCUCGCUGGGACGGUACUGACGCUGAGACGCGAAAGCGUGGGGAGCAAACAGG
rnacentral:rRNA from 1 species